rnacentral:rRNA from 1 species
UAGGGAAUCUUCCACAAUGGACGCAAGUCUGAUGGAGCAACGCCGCGUGAGUGAAGAAGGUCUUCGGAUCGUAAAGCUCUGUUGUUGGUGAAGAAGGAUAGAGGCAGUAACUGGUCUUUAUUUGACGGUAAUCAACCAGAAAGUCACGGCUAACUACGUGCCAGCAGCCGCGGUAAUACGUAGGUGGCAAGCGUUGUCCGGAUUUAUUGGGCGUAAAGCGAGCGCAGGCGGAAUGAUAAGUCUGAUGUGAAAGCCCACGGCUCAACCGUGGAACUGCAUCGGAAACUGUCAUUCUUGAGUGCAGAAGAGGAGAGUGGAACUCCAUGUGUAGCGGUGGAAUGCGUAGAUAUAUGGAAGAACACCAAUGGCGAAGGCGGCUCUCUGGUCUGCAACUGACGCUGAGGCUCGAAAGCAUGGGUAGCGAACAGGAUUAGAUACCCUGGUAGUCCAUGCCGUAAACGAUGAGCGCUAGGUGUUGGGGCACUUUCC